rnacentral:rRNA from 1 species
UACGAAGGGGGCUAGCGUUGUUCGGAAUUACUGGGCGUAAGCGCGCGCAGGCGGCUAUCCAAGUCAGUGGUGAAAGCCCGGAGCUCAACUCCGGAACUGCCAUUGAAACUGUUUAGCUUGAGGAUGAGAGAGGUGAGUGGAAUUCCCAGUGUAGAGGUGAAAUUCGUAGAUAUUGGGAAGAACACCGGUGGCGAAGGCGGCUCACUGGCUCAUUUCUGACGCUCAGGCGCGACAGCGUGGGGAUCAAACAGG